rnacentral:rRNA from 1 species
CGGGAGUUGGAAAAAAGCCCUUUCGGGUUUGUAAAUCUCUUUUCAUUUCGAGGAAGGAAAGGGUUUURUGUUAAUAGCUCUUUCCCAUUUACGUUACUUGCAGCAGAAGCCCCGGCUUAACUCCGUUCCAGCAGCCCGGUUAUACGUAGGUGCAACGUUUAUUCGGAAUUUUUGGGCGUAAAGCGCACGCAGGCGGGUUUUUUUAAGUCAGAUGUGAAAUCCCCCCGCUUCACCGGGGGAGGUGCAUUUGGAAACUGGGAAGCUAGAGUCUUGUAGAGGGGGGGGUAGAAUUUCCAGGUGUAGCGGUGAAAUGCGUAGAGAUUUGGAGGGAACCCGGUGGCGAAGGCGGCCCUUUUGGUCAAAGACUGACGCUCAGGUGCGAAAACGUGGGGAGCAAACAGGAUUAGAUACCCUGGUAGUCCACCCCGUAAACGAUGUCGACUUGGAGGUUGUGCCCUUGAGGCGUGUCUUCCGGAGCUAACGCGUUAAGUCGACCCCCUGGGGAGUACGGCCCCAAGGUUAAAACUCAAAUGAAUUUACGGGGGGCCGCACAAGCGGUGGAGCAUGUGGUUUAAUUCGAUGCAACGCGAAGAACCUUUCCUACUCUUGACAUCCAGAGAAUUCGCUAGAGAUAAUUAGUUCCUUCGGGAACUCUGAGACAGGUGCUGCAUGGCUGUCGUCAACUCGUGUUGUGAAAUGUUGGGUUAAGUCCCCCAACGAGCGCAACCCUUAUCCUUUGUUGCCAGCCCGUAAUGGCGGGAACUCAAAGGAGACUGCCGGUGAUAAACCGGAGGAAGGUGGGGAUGACGUCAAGUCAUCAUGCCCCUUACGAGUAGGGCUACACACGUGCUACAAUGGCGUAUACAAAGAGAAGCGAACUCGCGAGAGCAAGCGGUCCUCAUAAAGUACUUCGUAGUCCGGAUCGGAGUCUGCAACUCGCCUCCGUGAAGUCGGAAUCGCUAGUAAUCGUAGAUCAGAAUGCUCCGGUGAAUACGUUCCCGGCCCUUGUACACACCGCCCGUCACCCCAUGGGAGUGGGUUGCAAAAGAAGUAGGUAGGUUACCCUUCGGGAGGGCGCUUCCCCA